rnacentral:tRNA from 1 species
GCGAGGGUAGAUAAGCCUGGCCAAAAUCGAUGGACUUAAGAUCCAUUCUCUCAGGAGUUCGUGGGUUCGAAUCCCUCCCCUCGCA